rnacentral:lncRNA from 12 species
ACUUAAUAUAAAUCAUAUAUUUUAUUAUUACCAGGUAUAGAAACUUUAGGGCACUGAAAUUCAUUAGUUGUAUUAUCUGGGAAGAAAAAUUGCAAUAUAUGAAAACGUUAUAAAGACAGCGCUGGGUUUCAACUUAUCUCUGAUCUUACAGAUCCUCUCCUUCACUUGGAAAAUGGUCAUAAUAAAUUCAAGAUCAAAUGGCUAUUCUGAGGCUUGAGAGUACACACACACACACACACACACACUUAGUACACAGUUGAGAAGGACAUAGACGAUUAUAGUUAAGCAAAUGGGUAAAUGAGAUAAUUUCAGAUAUUCAUUCUGAUCUAAAAUGUAAAUUAAUUGAGUGUAACUAGUGAUGAUGAAAAACCUACUUUAAUUGAUGGAAGAAGAGAAAUGACAUUUUUGCUAAGGAGUAGAAUAUGGGGAGUUAAUGGAUAUUUAAGAAGAGGAACAUACUUUUAGUGGGUAGAAGAGCCAACAAACUCUGAAAGUGCAAUAGAAUUUCAAGUCAAUUUUAUGUUUAUUCUAGAAGUUGUGCUCAUAACAUUAAGUAUAUCCAAUCAUCGCAGCUAUAGUUUUUUUUUUUUUCAGGUAAAUUCAGCCCUGUAAAUACUGGUAUGUACAGUAAGUAAAUAGCUAAGUGGUUCUAACCACAGUUGCUGUGCUGCUUCUUCCUUAGUUGACUAUAAGGAGGAAAAAAAAUGAAAAAGACCACUCAGUAGUGUGUGCAUAGGACUUCAUGUAUGAAAGACGUUACCUUUCCAUGAGAAUAAAGAAAAACUCAGAAGAUGGCAAUCGACAAAGAUCACAUGAUCAGUGAUGAGCUGGCUCUCUUGAUAUUGUAAAUGGUCUUCAAGUUCUCAAAAUUGCAUCAAUUCAAGAAAGUGACAAUCAAGUUGAAAAGGGAAAUGACACUGAAUGUGAAGUAAAAAAAGAUAUCAUUUGCUUGAUAGUGGUACUCGGAGAUGACUGUGGGAAGGCACAUACCAAAAUAGUAAAGGUUCAAAUCUGAAGACAUAGAAAAUGAGAUGGCAUAGAGUGGUCUCUAUUCGUUGACUUACUUUUCCCUGUGACUAUUACACAUCAAUUAAUGAACUAUAUGAAGGACAGUCAUAUUUUUAAAAGAUAUAGUUUAAUAUAUUUAAAUGAGGGAUGUAGUGGUCCAUAGAUACAAAUCUAGAUUUUAAGAAUAGCUAUUUGCUUUUCAAAUUAAUUUAAUUAUAAUGUGUCUUAAAUGUUAAAUCUCAUACUCCAAUAUUUAUGAUGCAAAAAAGUGAAAAAAACAAAAUGAAAAGCCAUCUUCCUAGUUGCUUCAUCAAUAUUAUAGUUUAAAAAUAUCUUUAUUUCACGUUAAUAAGAUUACUUCUUUUUUA